rnacentral:rRNA from 1 species
UCGAACGAUUAAAGCUCUCUUCGGAGAGUGCAUAGAGUGGCGCACGGGUGAGUAACACGUAAGUAAUCUACCUUCGAGUGGGGAAUAACGUCCGGAAACGGGCGCUAAUACCGCAUAAUGCAGCGGCAUUGCAAGAUGACAGUUGUUAAAGGAGCAAUCCGCUUGAAGAGGAGCUUGCGGCAGAUUAGCUAGUUGGCAGGGUAAUGGCCUACCAAGGCUACGAUCUGUAACCGGUCUUAGAGGACGGUCGGUCACACUGACACUGAAUAACGGGUCAGACUCCUACGGGAGGCAGCAGUCGGGAAUUUUGGGCAAUGGGGGAAACCCUGACCCAGCAACGCCGCGUGAAGGAUGAAGUAUUUCGGUAUGUAAACUUCGAAAGAAUAGGAAGAAUUAAUGACGGUACUAUUUAUAAGGUCCGGCUAACUACGUGCCAGCAGCCGCGGAAAUACGUAGGGACCAAGCGUUGUUCGGAUUUACUGGGCGUAAAGGGCGCGUAGGCGGCAUGGCAAGUCACUUGUGAAAUCUCCGGGCUUAACUCGGAACGGCCAAGUGAUACUGCUGAGCUAGAGUGCAGAAGGGGCAAUCGGAAUUCUUGGUGUAGCGGUGAAAUGCGUAGAUAUCAAGAGGAACACCUGAGGUGAAGACGGGUUGCUGGGCUGACACUGACGCUGAGGCGCGAAAGCUAGGGGAGCAAACGGGAUUAGAUACCCCGGUAGUCCUAGCCCUAAACGAUGAAUACUUGGUGUCUGGAGGUUUAAUACUCCGGGUGCCGUCGCUAACGUUUUUAGUAUUCCGCCUGGGGGAGUACGUACGCAAGUAUGAAACUCA